CAGUAGCCGCGGGAAAACGGAGGGUGCAAGCGUUAAUCGGAAUUACUGGGCGUAAAGCGCACGCAGGCGGUCUGACAAGUCAGAUGUGAAAUCCCCGGGCUUAACCUGGGAACUGCAUUUGAAACUGUCAGGCUGGAGUCUUGUAGAGGGGGGUAGAAUUCCAGGUGUAGCGGUGAAAUGCGUAGAGAUCUGGAGGAAUACCGGUGGCGAAGGCGGCCCCCUGGACAAAGACUGACGCUCAGGUGCGAAAGCGUGGGGAGCAAACAGGAUUAGAUACCCCGGUAGUCCCUGUCUCUUAUAA
rnacentral:rRNA from 1 species